GAUGAACGCUGGCGGCGUGCUUAACACAUGCAAGUCGAACGAUGAAGCCCAGCUUGCUGGGUGGAUUAGUGGCGAACGGGUGAGUAACACGUGAGUAACCUGCCCUUAACUCUGGGAUAAGCCUGGGAAACUGGGUCUAAUACCGGAUAGGAGCGCCUACCGCAUGGUGGGUGUUGGAAAGAUUUAUCGGUUUUGGAUGGACUCGCGGCCUAUCAGCUUGUUGGUGAGGUAAUGGCUCACCAAGGCGACGACGGGUUGCCGGCCUGAGAGGGUGACCGGCCACACUGGGACUGAGACACGGCCCAGACUCCUACGGGAGGCAGCAGUGGGGAAUAUUGCACAAUGGGCGAAAGCCUGAUGCAGCGACGCCGCGUGAGGGAUGACGGCCUUCGGGUUGUAAACCUCUUUCAGUAGGGAAGAAGCGAAAGUGACGGUACCUGCAGAAGAAGCACCGGCUAACUACGUG
rnacentral:rRNA from 1 species